UACGAAGGGGGCUAGCGUUGCUCGGAAUCACUGGGCGUAAAGCGCACGUAGGCGGCUUUUUAAGUCAGGUGUGAAAUCCUGGAGCUCAACUCCAGAACUGCCUUUGAUACUGAGGAUCUUGAGUUCGGGAGAGGUGAGUGGAACUGCGAGUGUAGAGGUGAAAUUCGUAGAUAUUCGCAAGAACACCAGUGGCGAAGGCGGCGCACUGGCCCGAUACUGACGCUGAGGCACGAAAGCGUGGGGAGCAAACAGG
rnacentral:rRNA from 1 species